UACAGAGGGUGCAAGCGUUAAUCGGCAUUACUGGGCGUAAAGGGUGCGUAGGUGGAUAUAUACGUCAGCUGUGAAAUCCCUGGGCUUAACUUAGGAACUGCAUUUGAUACUGUGUAUCUAGAGUAUGGUAGAGGUAAGUGGAAUUUCCGGUGUAGCGGUGAAAUGCGUAGAUAUCGGAAGGAACACCAGUGGCGAAGGCGACUUACUGGACUGAUACUGACACUGAGGCACGAAAGCGUGGGGAGCGAACAGG
rnacentral:rRNA from 1 species